rnacentral:rRNA from 1 species
UACGUAGGGCGCAAGCGUUGUCCGGAAUUAUUGGGCGUAAAGAGCUCGUAGGCGGCCUGUUGCGUCCGCUGUGAAAUCCCGGGGCUCAACCCCGGGCCUGCAGUGGAUACGGGCUGGCUAGAGGCAGGCAGGGGAGAACGGAACUCCUGGUGUAGCGGUGAAAUGCGCAGAUAUCAGGAGGAACACCGGUGGCGAAGGCGGUUCUCUGGGCCUGUACUGACGCUGAGGAGCGAAAGCGUGGGGAGCGAACAGG